rnacentral:rRNA from 1 species
CGGGUGACAGGGAGACAGGUGGUGCGAUGGUUGCGUCAGCUCGUGUCGUGAGAUGUUGGGUUAAGUCCCGCAACGGAGCGCAACCCCUACGUUUAGUUGCUAACGCGUGAAGGCGAGCACUCUAGACGAACUGCCGUUGACAAAACGGAGGAAGGUGGGAUGACGUCAAAUCAUCAUGCCCCUUAUGUUCUGGGCUACACACGUGCUACAAUGGCCGGUACAGACGGACGCAAAGCCGCGAGGCGGAGCAAAUCCGAAAAAGCCGGUCUCAGUUCGGAUUGCAGGCUGCAAUUCGCCUGCAUGAAGUCGGAAUCGCUAGUAAUCGCAGGUCAGCAUACUGCGGUGAAUACGUUCCCGGGCCUU